rnacentral:rRNA from 1 species
UUCCCCUAGUAACUGCGAGUGAAGCGGGAAAAGCUCAAAUUUAAAAUCUGGCAGUCUUUGGCUGUCCGAGUUGUAAUCUAGAGAAGUGUUAUCCGCGCUGGACCGUGUACAAGUCUCCUGGAAUGGAGCGUCAUAGAGGGUGAGAAUCCCGUCUUUGACACGGACUACCAGGGCUUUGUGAUGCGCUCUCAAAGAGUCGAGUUGUUUGGGAAUGCAGCUCAAAMUGGGUGGUAAAUUCCAUCUAAAGCUAAAUAUUGGCGAGAGACCGAUAGCGAACAAGUACCGUGAGGGAAAGAUGAAAAGAACUUUGGAAAGAGAGUUAAACAGUACGUGAAAUUGCUGAAAGGGAAACGCUUGAAGUCAGUCGCGUUGUCCAGGGAUCAACCUUGCUUUUGCUUGGUGCACUUUCUGGUUGACGGGUCAGCAUCAAUUUUGACUAUUGGAAAAAGGUCAAGGGAAUGUGGCAUCUUCGGAUGUGUUAUAGCCCUUGGUUGCAUACAAUGGUUGGGAUUGAGGAACUCAGCACGCCGCAAGGCCGGGUUUUUAACCACGUACGUGCUUAGGAUGCUGGCAUAAUGGCUUUAAUCGACCCGUCUUGAAACACGGACCAAGGAGUCUAACAUGCCUGCGAGUGUUUGGGUGGAAAACCCGAGCGCGCAAUGAAAGUGAAAGUUGAGAUCCCUGUCGUGGGGAGCAUCGACGCCCAGACCAGACCUUUUGUGACGGAUCUGCGGUAGAGCAUGUAUGUUGGGACCCGAAAGAUGGUGAACUAUGCCUGAAUAGGGUGAAGCCAGAGGAAACUCUGGUGGAGGCUCGUAGCGAUUCUGACGUGCAAAUCGAUCGUCAAAUUUGGGUAUAGGGGCGAAAGAC